CUGCUCUGCUGGAGUUUUCAGUAUUAAUUUGGGGUGAGGAAGAAGUGUUGCUGUCAGCCUGCUUACCAGAGAGUGGUUCUGGUUAGGAGCCCUCCCAUCUGCGAUAAAUGACCUCUAUGUUACACCUGAAGAGCAGCCUGAGAUGCAACAGCAUGGCUGAGGCUUCCUUUUAAUGCUUCUGGCAAGGCUAAAUGUCCCUUGCCUCCUCCUCCCUGUGCUAUGGGGCUGGAGUGAGGUGAAAAGAAGACUGCAUCAAGAACUCUGAUUCUUCUCCCCUCUGGGAAAGAAGGGCAGCAAACUGGUGUUUCAGUGUUCCUCCCAAAUCCCAGCAUGACUUGAGGCUGUCAAGUGUCUAGUUCAUGAUGUUUGAAUGCCUGUGGUUGGAAAGGUCAGAUGUUUUCAGCAUUUCAUAUGGAUGAGUGCAGACUGCAGAGAAGAAUGACCUGGCCCAAAAGAGUUUGAUAAGUGUUUCCAGGACAGAUAUGGAGAUUUCUAGUGUGUGGCAGCAUGUGAACUCAGGCUGGGUAGGCUGGCACUCUACAAUGGUAAGGGACAGGUCUGCCAGUGAGCCUUUAUCCUAGGACAUGCCAGCAAGAUGUCUGCUGGAGCAGUCACUUAUGCACAGAUGUAAUUUGAAGGAAGUGACAUUUCACUUUGUGUGCACACCUCUGUCUGCAAGUAGAAGCCAAGCAAUAAAAAAAAUACUCUUGGAUGCCCCUGAAAAUGGACUGCCUCAGCUCUGCCAGAAUAGCAUCCCUGCAAGUGUUGCUGGUUUCUCCACUCGCACAGGAGCACAGUAAUAGUUCUUGUGGAGCUUCAUUGAGCUUUCUGGAGCCAGCUAACUCCUACUGAGUGUUUCUUACUGUUCAUAUAGCUUGAAAAUCUAAGGCUUCAUUUCUAAUGAAGCCUCUGCACAAAAGGCAGCAUAUUGUUCUUCCAGCUCUGAUGACUUGUGCAUCUCUGUUAGAUGGCUUUGGCACAAGGAAAUUCAUUUACACUCAGUUUCCUUGAAACUUUCACCCCGCAUCAGCCUCAUGCUGUUGCCUGCAGCCAGGAUAGUGCUGAGAGCUGGCGGUGUGUGUAACACACCAGAACGGAGGCAGCAUGAUUGUAAAUCCUGAGUUCAUCCCUCACCUCUGCCUUCUUCCAGGCUUGCACAACUUGGUGAGAGGCAUUUCUAAAGAAGAAGCCAAACCCAUCAGUUUUUUAGAUUGUUUUGUUACUGGGCUUAGCAGAGAGGCUCCUUCCUACCCUCAGCCUGAGCGAUUGCUUUGCAUAAGGGGACAAGCUUGUCACCUCUUGCAGAGAGAGGUGGCAGCUUUGCCCAGUGCCUCCUUGCUGGAGACUGCAUGGAAGGAGAUAGGCAGACUAAUGAGAAACACACAACAUGUUCCCCUUUUUCAGGCGAUACCCUGACUUCUCACAGAGGCCAAUUGCUGAUGCUGGUCCCGAGGUGGAGGAACAGCCACUUAACUGGGCCCUACCAGCCAUCAGGUGCAAGCUAAAAAUUUGUAGUGAAGGUCCGUGUGUGCAGUGUGUGGUCACCAGCACUUCCCAGGCAGAGGGCUGACAGGGUGGUAAUUGGCAGAUCUCAUCACACUGGUCAAAGGGAGCUCUCCUGUGCGACAAUUAUUGCCUGGGGGGAAAGGGAAGAAACCUGGAGGCAGGGAAUUAGAGUAAGCGCUGAUGAGUUGGCAGAUGCUGCUGGAUCAAUGGCUGUGUCAUGGCAGGAGAGCAGCAACAGCCCUCUUGGAGCCAUCAGUCACUGUUGUCUUGGGUAAACACCAGCAAGUGGAGCAAGAAGAGAAACGGGAGGGGGGUCACAGGCCUGCUAGGCCAUGCUUAAUUACUUUGGUUGCAUGAGAGGGACACUUGCCUACUGUGACAGUCCCACUUGGGGAGCUGCACACACAGUAGUUAGCACUGGAGGCACAUGGCCAUUUUCAUCCAGAAGAAAAACCACCAGGAUCUCAAAGCACUGCAGCAAGCAGCUGACAGCAGGCAUGUAUUGUGCACACCUGCAAGGUCCUGUGCUGUGCCAUGCCACCCCACCAGGGCAAAACAGUGAGGGCCGUGUGUGUGACAGCAGCCACCAAGGCCCUGUGCAGUGUGGCCUCGGCAGGGUACCUGCCUUGCCACGUGGUGUGGUCUGCGUGCUGCUACUGCUGUGAGAAGACCAUGCUGUCCUUCCCUGUUCUUCCUUCCUUGAAGUGACUGUCAGGGCCCAUGGCAGCACGGGGCUGUUGCCUGCACCAUGAACCAUGCUGGCACUUGGAUUGUGGGGACUGGUUGUUGGUUGUGCAAAAUCACCCAGUCCUGAGCUCAGCACAAAUUCAGAGAGACGUGGAAAUUGUGCAUGAUGAAAAUACAUCCUGCCCUGCUCUGAUGUAACUUUCACAAUGCUAAUUUCCUCAGUGGAAACACCAUUUUCUAGAGGGCUCUGAGGACAUGCUUUCUCCUCAGCAGUGUCCUGGUUUCAGGUCUGUGCUGCCUCUGCACUGCUCCUCCAGCAGGGCUGCCUGCUUGUGUCACUGUGCUCUUGCUGUAACAACAAGCCAAUCCAGGUUUAAUAAGCAAAAGUAGGCAGGGGUGCUUUGACAGUGCAAACAGUUUUACUAGAACUGAUGUGGAGAUGCAAAACAAACAAAAACAGAGAGAAGAGAGUUUAAAACCAUUUAAGGUGAAUUUUGACAUCAUAGUGUUGAAUUCCAUUGGGAGUCAAAAUUCAACUGCUGAGCCAGUGCAAGCUAGGGGUGCUAGAUGUUGUUUCUAGAUCAAACAAAAUGCAGCAGCACCAGCUGUGCUUCUGCAUUGGAGAGGCCCUCCUUAUAAAGCCAAAAGGUGACUGAUGGGCUGGCUCAGCAGAUGGCAGUGGGUUUGGCACCAGCACUGCUGUACUGUAGGGGACCUGAGCUGUGUAGGCACGUGCCCCCAUUGCUGUAAGGACACCUGAUCUGAGGGCACCCACUUACCUCACUGGGUUUAGUGAUUUUUCUCCCCCCCCCUCCUCUUUUUCUCCAGGCACUGGCUCUGGCUAACAGCUUUGUAAGAGCAGCCUAUCCCUAAAGUGUAGCAGUGCUAAAUUACCACCACCAAGAUACUCUUUUGCUCGAGUUAUGGCCUUUUCCUCCUACAAUAUUUUUAACGGUGUCUUCCUAUGCUACUCUGUCAUUUAGAGGGACAGGCUUUCUGUUAUAUACACAAUGAUUCCCCCUUCCCUCAACCACCUGUAACUGCAGCAAGGUUAAAGCACAACAUUUGCAUCACCUUGUCAGGCUGGUGCAAACAGAACAAUAGAAAAAGAAGAAAAUUUAAUGCCAUUCUGGAAUGUCUGUGUAACUUCUGGGUGGUGAUUGCAAAGAUAGAGAUGAUCAAAUACAAUAAAAAGGCUAUUUUCAAAUGUUCAUAGCUAUUCCAAAUAAUGAGUCUGAUUGACAAGAAGUCAUACUUCAUUUAUUUAUUUAUUGAGUAUUUGAGUAUUGAGUACUGACCAUAGAUCUGAAGGGACUUUUCUCACACAAUUAAGCAAACGCCUGUUCCUUGCACAAACGCCUCUCUUCACCUGCAAGCAGAAGGAUUUGAGAGGAAACAAGAAACACAUGUUCUUCCUUGUUUGCCAACUGCUCUCUGUCCAUGACUGCAGUUACUGCUGUUGCUGGGUAGUCAGUAGGCUUUGGCUAGGAUGAUCACAGGGUUGGAGCUGUUCUGUCCUGUUAGGUGAUGCUCUGAAUUGGGAUCUAUGAGGCAUUAUGCAGCCAUUCAAGAGCCUGCCGUGAAGAUCUCCUAGCUGAGGAUUCACUGCUUUUACAGAUUCUGGCAUCUGAGCAGGGAGGAAGCGUGGUGUCAUUUGGUGGGAAUAAUACUCAGUAGGGGAAGAAGGGAAUUUACAAGCAUACAAGCAUCCAUUUACAAGUGUAUACAUGGUUAAAAAUCAAAUAAGUAAGCCACAAUAAUGAAAACAAAGCAGAACACAACAAAAACACCUUUAAAAUCAGCAAUGAAUGUAAGCACAGAGGUAAAAUGAAAUAUAGCAGAAUGCUGGCCCACGUAGGUAUGGAGGAGGAGGGUGAGGGAGGAAGCUGGUGGUCGGGAGGACGCUCAGAAGGUGACUGGACAUCUACCAAAGGGAAAAAUAUUUCUUAAACACGGGCUGAAGAUUCACAUGGGCUCUGAAACCUGCAGGGAGGUCAGUGGUUGUUGUCUCAGUUUCAUGCAUUUUGGUCUUUGUGCUCUGCAUUGCCAGAGUAGUUCUAUUUUUUUUCUGGGAGUGCUAAAUUAUUUCCAUUUAAAACAAACAAACAAGCAAACGAAUCCUUUUUGCUAGGCACUUAUUGUAUGACAUAGGCCCAGCGACAGAUAUUUCCUAAGGAUUCCAUUCACACAGCAACUGCGUGCAGAAGCCACAUUAUGCACACAGUGGACCAUGCAUAACAGCACCUGCUGCUGCUCCUGCUGCUACUAAAGAGAGAGCAACUAAUCUCUUUAAUUAUUGGAGAAGAAUUAAGGCUUGAUUUGUCUUAUUACAGGAACAUAGGUAUUUCCCUCCUGUGGGCUGGAGAGGAGAUGCUCUUUGCCAUCCUGUUCUGCUGCAAGGGGCACUUAAACUAUUGGGUGUGUUACCAUCAGCAGCUGAAGGAAGAGCAGGGUUGUAUGGACAUCCACCCCUCCACCUCUGAUCUGGGAGCUUUCUGUGUAGUUUCUCUCCCACAGCAGAAAAGGACAGGCUGAAGGCAGAGUUAGGGGAGCAAGGCAAAUGGCAGGGGGAUUGUGUGGGCGCUGCUGGAGUCCUCCUGUCUGCAGGCAUGCUGCACGUUCCUGGCGUGCUGGGGAGCCCAGGGGAGCAGCACAUCAGCUGGCUUCAGAGAGGAGAUGGGCUUGCAAUCAGGUGAGCACAUCUGCUGCCUUAGCCCAGGAGGGAGAGGCUGUGGACUGGGAGCAGAACACAAUCAUAGGGCGGUUAUCUUCUUGAUGAGGAUUUGGUGACAUGUUAUCGGGGAGACCCUCCCAGCAUUCUCUAAGAGGCAAAGGGAGUCAGAGGAGGGUCUGUUACCAGACUCCCCAGUUAAAGCUGCACUGAGCUAAGCUGUAAGUGGUCUUCUUUCAAACUGUACCAACAUUUGGUCAGCAUCCUUUUCUAAAACCCCCUCCCAGACCUGCUUUUUCCUUUCCAGACCCGUACCUCCUUGCCGACGCUAGAGCAAGAGGAGUGCAGUCAUGGAAAGAGCAGAAAAGAUCCUUUCCAUCCUUUUGGUUCCCCACUGCCCUUUCCUCCCUCCCUCCUUCUCACA